AACGAACGCUGGCGGCAGGCCUAACACAUGCAAGUCGAGCGCCCCGCAAGGGAGCGGCGGACGGGUGAGUAACGCGUGGGAACGUGCCUCUUGCUACGGGAUAGCCUCGGGAAACUGGGAGGUAAUACCGUAUGUGCCCUACGGGGAAAGAUUUAUCGGCAAGAGAUCGGCCCGCGUUGGAUUAGGUAGUUGGUGGGGUAAUGGCCUACCAAGCCGACGAUCCAUAGCUGGUUUGAGAGGAUGAUCAGCCACACUGGGACUGAGACACGGCCCAGACUCCUACGGGAGGCAGCAGUGGGGAAUCUUAGACAAUGGGCGCAAGCCUGAUCUAGCCAUGCCGCGUGAGCGAUGAAGGCCUUAGGGUUGUAAAGCUCUUUCAGUGGGAAGAUAAUGACUGUACCCACAGAAGAAGCCCCGGNUAACUCCGUG
rnacentral:rRNA from 1 species